AAUGAACGCUGGCGGCGUGCCUAACACAUGCAAGUCGAGCGAGAAAGUCCCCUUCGGGGGCGAGUAAAGCGGCGCACGGGUGAGUAACGCGUGGGUAACCUGCCCUAGAGUGGGGGAUAACCAGCCGAAAGGCUGACUAAUCCCGCAUACGACCGGCAGACACAAGUCUGCUGGGGAAAGAUGGCCUCUGCUUGCAAGCUAUCGCUCUUGGAUGGGCCUGCGUUGGAUUAGCUAGUUGGUGAGGUAAUGGCUCACCAAGGCUGCGAUCCAUAGCUGGUUUGAGAGGACGACCAGCCACACUGGAACUGAGACACGGUCCAGACUCCUACGGGAGGCAGCAGUGGGGAAUAUUGCACAAUGGGCGAAAGCCUGAUGCAGCGACGCCGCGUGAGGGAUGACGGCCCUCGGGUUGUAAACCUCUUUCAGCAGGGAAGAAGCGAAAGUGACGGUACCUGCAGAAGAAGCACCGGCUAACUACGUG
rnacentral:rRNA from 1 species